AAACUACUGAGUGACAGCAAAAUAGAUAUUGGUUUCGUUCAAGAAACACACUGGACUAACUCUACGCCUAAACUAUGGAAAUAUAAAAAAUUCCCAGUGGUUCAUAGAUCUAAUUUGGCAGGAAAGAAUAAGAAAAGAGGGGUGGCAAUUUUCUUUUCAUGCAGUGUGAAAUAUGAGCUGAUCUAUGAGGAGGCCGACCCGGGUGGUAGGUUCCUUAUAGUGAUAGCACGAAUCAACGAUAUUGUAUAUACCUUAGUAAAUGUUUAUGCUCCAAACCAGUCUCCAUACAGAUUUUUGGGAAAUUUGAUGCAAAAGAUUGACCGCGUAUCGUCUGGCAUCCUAAUUAUCGGUGGGGAUUUUAACUGUACUAUAGAUAACAAAAUAGAUAGGAAUAGAACUAAGCCUAACAUUCAUUUAGACGGUAAGCAAAGAACAGG